AAUACAUUUUACCAUUUUUCAAAAUCAAUGAAAAAUCAAAAUCCUAUCCUAUAUAAUAAUAAAAAAAAGUCAGUGGCUAUUGUGAGGACUCUAAAUCCCUAAUGGAGUAUUUAUGUGCAUUCCCGUCAAAACCAAUAAAAUCUAAUCUACAAAAUUCAAAUGGGUUUUUCUUAAAAAAACAAAUAGAACACAAAAUCUGCUCGCAAACCCACUUACAUUAUAACCUCCCUAAAAACUACUACUCCUACAUUUAUAGUUUCAUAGAGUAUCACAACAAAAAAAGAACAAAAAUACCGUCAACCAAAAAAAUAUACCCGCUUGAAAAACACCUCUCUCUAUUGAAGAAGAUGAUGAAGUCGGAGACAAGUAUGGAGGAGGUGAGGAAGAAGAUGAAUAAGAUAGGGAUGAACAUUGACAAUGAUGCUGCCUCUCGAUUCUAUCUUAACCACAACAAUAAAAUCAUUGGGCGGUGCAAUUUGAUGUUAGCUAUUUUUACUUGGAGUAAACAAUGACUUCUGUGAGGUCCAAAUGACAGGGUUACAACAAUAGGUCUUAUCAAGGUCCCUUAAGUGUUAUUUUACGCCAUCUCACAUUUUCAAGUUUACAAACGAAGUUGAGUUAGCUUUUUAAUUAUUUCUCUCUUUCAUUUCCGGACAAAAACUUUAAAUUAAAAUCUAUAUGGUUGUGUAGACAUAAAAAUUUGUAUUUGUUUAGCUAUUGUAAAAUACUAAUUCGCACA